rnacentral:rRNA from 1 species
UACGUAGGAGGCGAGCGUUGUCCGGAAUUACUGGGCGUAAAGAGCGCGUAGGCGGCACGGUACGACCGGUGUGAAAGCCCCCGGCUCAAACUGGGGGAGGGUCAUUCGAUACUGAUCGACUCGAAGGCAGGAGAGGGUAGUGGAAUUCCCGGUGUAGUGGUGAAAUGCGUAGAUAUCGGGAGGAACACCAGUGGCGAAGGCGACUACCUGGCCUGUUCUUGACGCUGAGGCGCGAAAGCUAGGGGAGCAAACGGG